UCCAGUGUCACAUGAUGGGCAGCCAGGAGCAGAUAAAUAUUAAUUUCCUAAUUUGUUUAGGGACCCUGCAGACUGGAUAGAAUGACCUAGCAGGCCAGAUCCAGCCUGCAGGCUGUAUUUUGCCCA